GGAGAUAUGGCUCAGUGGGUAAGAGCACUGACUGCUCUUCCAGAGGACCUGGGUUCAAUUCCCAGCAUUCACA
rnacentral:tRNA from 1 species